rnacentral:rRNA from 1 species
CCUACGGGUGGCAGCAGUGAGGAAUAUUGGUCAAUGGGCGGAAGCCUGAACCAGCCAAGUAGCGUGCAGGAUGACGGCCCUACGGGUUGUAAACUGCUUUUAUACGGGAAUAACGCGCCUUACGUGUAGGGCUUUGCAUGUACCGUAUGAAUAAGGACCGGCUAAUUCCGUGCCAGCAGCCGCGGUAAUACGGAAGUUCCGGGCGUUAUCCGGAGUUAUUGGGUUUAAAGGGAGCGUAGGCCGCAUCUCAAGCUUGCUGGGAAAUGGCCGGGCUCAACCCGGGCCUUGCAGCGCGACCUGGCGUGCUUGAGUCCGCGGAAAGCAGGCGGAAUUCGUCGUGUAGCGGUGAAAUGCUUAGAUAUGACGAAGAACCCCGAUUGCGAAGGCAGCUUGCUGCAGCGGAACUGACGCUGAUGCUCGAAAGCGCGGGUAUCGAACAGGAUUAGAUACCCCAGUAGUC